UGGCGGCGUGCCUAACACAUGCAAGUCGAACGUGAAAGUCCUUCGGGAUGAGUAAAGUGGCGAACGGGUGCAUAACGCGUAGGAAUCUACCCUUGGGUGAAGGAUACCCUAGAGAAAUUUAGGCUAAUACUGCAUAAGCCGGGAAACCGGGAAAGGUGGCCUCUUUGCUACCGCACAAGGAUGAGCCUGCGUACUAUUAGUUAGUUGGUGAGGUAAAGGCUCACCAAGACGAAGAUGGUUAGCUGGCCUGAGAGGGUGUACAGCCACAAUGGGACUGAGAUACGGCCCAUACUCCUACGGGAGGNAGCAGUGGGGAAUAUUGCACAAUGGGCGAAAGCCUGAUGCAGCGACGCCGCGUGGAGGAUGAAGGUUUUCGCAUUGUAAACUCCUGUUAAGUGGGAAGAAAGACCCUGUGCUAAUACCACAGGGUGAUGACGGUACCACUAGAGAAAGCACCGGCUAACUUCGUGCCAGCAGUCGUGGUAAUACGAGGGGUGCAAGCGUUAUUCGGAAUAACUGGGCGUAAAGAGCGCGUAGGCGGCUUGUUAAGUCUGUUGUUAAAUAACCCGGCUUAACCGGGAAAUGGCAAUAGAAACUGACGAGCUAGAGGACAAGAGAGAGAAGUGGAAUUCUCGGAGUAGCGGGAUGAUCACUGGAUAUGGGAUUUGNAAAGCAGAUUCUGUGUCGAAGCUAACGCGUUAAGUGAUCCGCCUGGGGAGUACGGUCGCAAGAUUAAAACUCAAAGAAAUUGACGGGGGUCCGCACAAGCGGUGGAACAUGUGGUUUAAUUCGACACUACGCGAGGAACCUUACCUGGGCUUGACAUGUAAUUGUUACUGAUGGAAACAUCGGGUUCUGUGGGAAACCAUAGACUGUUACACAGGUGCUGCAUGGCUGUCGUCAGCUCGUGUCGUGAGAUGUUGGGUUAAGUCCUUUAACGAGCGCAACCCUUACCGUUAGUUGCUAUCCUGAAAGGGAGCACUCUAGCGGGACUGCCUGGGAAACCAGGAGGAAGGUGG
rnacentral:rRNA from 1 species